rnacentral:rRNA from 1 species
AAAUUGAAGAGUUUGAUCAUGGCUCAGAUUGAACGCUGGCGGCAGGCCUAACACAUGCAAGUCGAACGGUAACAGGAAGCAGCUUGCUGCUUCGCUGACGAGUGGCGGACGGGUGAGUAAUGUCUGGGAAACUGCCUGAUGGAGGGGGAUAACUACUGGAAACGGUAGCUAAUACCGCAUAACGUCGCAAGACCAAAGAGGGGGACCUUCGGGCCUCUUGCCAUCGGAUGUGCCCAGAUGGGAUUAGCUUGUUGGUGGGGUAACGGCUCACCAAGGCGACGAUCCCUAGCUGGUCUGAGAGGAUGACCAGCCACACUGGAACUGAGACACGGUCCAGACUCCUACGGGAGGCAGCAGUGGGGAAUAUUGCACAAUGGGCGCAAGCCUGAUGCAGCCAUGCCGCGUGUAUGAAGAAGGCCUUCGGGUUGUAAAGUACUUUCAGCGGGGAGGAAGGGAGUAAAGUUAAUACCUUUGCUCAUUGACGUUACCCGCAGAAGAAGCACCGGCUAACUCCGUGCCAGCAGCCGCGGUAAUACGGAGGGUGCAAGCGUUAAUCGGAAUUACUGGGCGUAAAGCGCACGCAGGCGGUUUGUUAAGUCAGAUGUGAAAUCCCCGGGCUCAACCUGGGAACUGCAUCUGAUACUGGCAAGCUUGAGUCUCGUAGAGGGGGGUAGAAUUCCAGGUGUAGCGGUGAAAUGCGUAGAGAUCUGGAGGAAUACCGGUGGCGAAGGCGGCCCCCUGGACGAAGACUGACGCUCAGGUGCGAAAGCGUGGGGAGCAAACAGGAUUAGAUACCCUGGUAGUCCACGCCGUAAACGAUGUCGACUUGGAGGUUGUGCCCUUGAGGCGUGGCUUCCGGAGCUAACGCGUUAAGUCGACCGCCUGGGGAGUACGGCCGCAAGGUUAAAACUCAAAUGAAUUGACGGGGGCCCGCACAAGCGGUGGAGCAUGUGGUUUAAUUCGAUGCAACGCGAGGAACCUUACCUGGUCUUGACAUCCACGGAAGUUUUCAGAGAUGAGAAUGUGCCUUCGGGAACCGUGAGACAGGUGCUGCAUGGCUGUCGUCAGCUCGUGUUGUGAAAUGUUGGGUUAAGUCCCGCAACGAGCGCAACCCUUAUCCUUUGUUGCCAGCGGUCCGGCCGGGAACUCAAAGGAGACUGCCAGUGAUAAACUGGAGGAAGGUGGGGAUGACGUCAAGUCAUCAUGGCCCUUACGACCAGGGCUACACACGUGCUACAAUGGCGCAUACAAAGAGAAGCGACCUCGCGAGAGCAAGCGGACCUCAUAAAGUGCGUCGUAGUCCGGAUUGGAGUCUGCAACUCGACUCCAUGAAGUCGGAAUCGCUAGUAAUCGUGGAUCAGAAUGCCACGGUGAAUACGUUCCCGGGCCUUGUACACACCGCCCGUCACACCAUGGGAGUGGGUUGCAAAAGAAGUAGGUAGCUUAACCUUCGGGAGGGCGCUUACCACUUUGUGAUUCAUGACUGGGGUGAAGUCGUAACAAGGUAACCGUAGGGGAACCUGCGGUUGGAUCACCUCCUUA